AACGAACGCUGGCGGCGUGCUUAAUACAUGCAAGUUGUGCGAGAAAGCGGGGGCAACCCCGCAAGUAAAGCGGCGAACGGGUGAGUAACACGUAAGUAACCUGCCUUCAAGUUUGGAAUAACCCUGCCAACGCGGGGCUAAUACCGGAUGUGAUCCUGAGGCUGCAUAGCUUUGGGAUUAAAGCUGACCUCUACUUGUAAGUUUGCGCUUGAAGAUGGACUUGCGUACCAUUAGCUAGUUGGUAGGUAACGGCCUACCAAGGCUUUGAUGGUUAGCCGACCUGAGAGGGUGAUCGGCCACAUUGGGACUGAGAUACGGCCCAGACUCCUACGGGAGGCAG
rnacentral:rRNA from 1 species